GGUUAAGCGACUAAGCGUACACGGUGGAUGCCCUGGCAGUCAGAGGCGAUGAAGGACGUGCUAAUCUGCGAAAAGCGUCGGUAAGGUGAUAUGAACCGUUAUAGCCGGCGAUGUCCGAAUGGGGAAACCCAGUGUGAUUCGUCACACUAUCGUUAACUGAAUACAUAGGUUAACGAGGCGAACCGGGGGAACUGAAACAUCUAAGUACCCCGAGGAAAAGAAAUCAACCGAGAUUCCCCCAGUAGCGGCGAGCGAACGGGGAGCAGCCCAGAGUCUGAAUCAGCUUGUGUGUUAGUGGAACGGUCUGGAAAGUCCGACGGUACAGGGUGAUAGUCCCGUACACCAAAAUGCACAGGUUGUGAACUCGAAGAGUAGGGCGGGACACGUGGUAUCCUGUCUGAAUAUGGGGGGACCAUCCUCCAAGGCUAAAUACUCCUGACUGACCGAUAGUGAACCAGUACCGUGAGGGAAAGGCGAAAAGAACCCCGGCGAGGGGAGUGAAAAAGAACCUGAAACCGUGUACGUACAAGCAGUGGGAGCACCUUCGGGUGUGACUGCGUACCUUUUGUAUAAUGGGUCAGCGACUUAUAUUCUGUAGCAAGGUUAACCGUAUAGGGGAGCCGCAGGGAAACCGAGUCUUAACUGGGCGUUAAGUUGCAGGGUAUAGACCCGAAACCCGGUGAUCUAGCCAUGGGCAGGUUGAAGGUUGGGUAACACUAACUGGAGGACCGAACCGACUAAUGUUGAAAAAUUAGCGGAUGACUUGUGGCUGGGGGUGAAAGGCCAAUCAAACCGGGAGAUAGCUGGUUCUCCCCGAAAGCUAUUUAGGUAGCGCCUCGUGAACUCAUCUUCGGGGGUAGAGCACUGUUUCGGCUAGGGGGUCAUCCCGACUUACCAACCCGAUGCAAACUACGAAUACCGAAGAAUGUUAUCACGGGAGACACACGGCGGGUGCUAACGUCCGUCGUGAAGAGGGAAACAACCCAGACCGCCAGCUAAGGUCCCAAAGUCAUGGUUAAGUGGGAAACGAUGUGGGAAGGCACAGACAGCCAGGAUGUUGGCUUAGAAGCAGCCAUCAUUUAAAGAAAGCGUAAUAGCUCACUGGUCGAGUCGGCCUGCGCGGAAGAUGUAACGGGGCUAAACCAUGCACCGAAGCUGCGGCAGCGACACUAUGUGUUGUUGGGUAGGGGAGCGUUCUGUAAGCCUGCGAAGGUGACCUGUGAGGGUUGCUGGAGGUAUCAGAAGUGCGAAUGCUGACAUAAGUAACGAUAAAGCGGGUGAAAAGCCCGCUCGCCGGAAGACCAAGGGUUCCUGUCCAACGUUAAUCGGGGCAGGGUGAGUCGACCCCUAAGGCGAGGCCGAAAGGCGUAGUCGAUGGGAAACAGGUUAAUAUUCCUGUACUUGGUGUUACUGCGAAGGGGGGACGGAGAAGGCUAUGUUAGCCGGGCGACGGUUGUCCCGGUUUAAGCAUGUAGGCUGGUUGUCCAGGCAAAUCCGGAUAAUCAAGGCUGAGGUGUGAUGACGAGGCACUACGGUGCUGAAGUAACAAAUGCCCUGCUUCCAGGAAAAGCCUCUAAGCAUCAGGUAACAUCAAAUCGUACCCCAAACCGACACAGGUGGUCAGGUAGAGAAUACCAAGGCGCUUGAGAGAACUCGGGUGAAGGAACUAGGCAAAAUGGUGCCGUAACUUCGGGAGAAGGCACGCUGGUGUGUAGGUGAAGUCCCUGCGGAUGGAGCUGAGACCAGUCGAAGAUACCAGCUGGCUGCAACUGUUUAUUAAAAACACAGCACUGUGCAAACACGAAAGUGGACGUAUACGGUGUGACGCCUGCCCGGUGCCGGAAGGUUAAUUGAUGGGGUUAUCCGUAAGGAGAAGCUCUUGAUCGAAGCCCCGGUAAACGGCGGCCGUAACUAUAACGGUCCUAAGGUAGCGAAAUUCCUUGUCGGGUAAGUUCCGACCUGCACGAAUGGCGUAAUGAUGGCCAGGCUGUCUCCACCCGAGACUCAGUGAAAUUGAACUCGCUGUGAAGAUGCAGUGUACCCGCGGCAAGACGGAAAGACCCCGUGAACCUUUACUAUAGCUUGACACUGAACAUUGAGCCUUGAUGUGUAGGAUAGGUGGGAGGCUUUGAAGCGUGGACGCCAGUCUGCGUGGAGCCAACCUUGAAAUACCACCCUUUAAUGUUUGAUGUUCUAACGUUGGCCCCUGACCGGGGUUGCGGACAGUGUCUGGUGGGUAGUUUGACUGGGGCGGUCUCCUCCCAAAGCGUAACGGAGGAGCACGAAGGUUAGCUAAUCCUGGUCGGACAUCAGGAGGUUAGUGCAAUGGCAUAAGCUAGCUUGACUGCGAGCGUGACGGCGCGAGCAGGUGCGAAAGCAGGUCAUAGUGAUCCGGUGGUUCUGAAUGGAAGGGCCAUCGCUCAACGGAUAAAAGGUACUCCGGGGAUAACAGGCUGAUACCGCCCAAGAGUUCAUAUCGACGGCGGUGUUUGGCACCUCGAUGUCGGCUCAUCACAUCCUGGGGCUGAAGUAGGUCCCAAGGGUAUGGCUGUUCGCCAUUUAAAGUGGUACGCGAGCUGGGUUUAGAACGUCGUGAGACAGUUCGGUCCCUAUCUGCCGUGGGCGCUGGAGAAUUGAGGGGGGCUGCUCCUAGUACGAGAGGACCGGAGUGGACGCAUCACUGGUGUUCGGGUUGUCAUGCCAAUGGCACUGCCCGGUAGCUAAAUGCGGAAGAGAUAAGUGCUGAAAGCAUCUAAGCACGAAACUUGCCCCGAGAUGAGUUCUCCCUGAGACUUUAAGUCUCCUGAAGGAACGUUGAAGACGACGACGUUGAUAGGCCGGGUGUGUAAGCGCAGCGAUGCGUUGAGCUAACCGGUACUAAUGAACCGUGAGGCUUAACCUU
rnacentral:rRNA from 1 species